rnacentral:rRNA from 1 species
UACGGAGGAGCUAGCGUUAUUCGGAAUUACUGGGCGUAAAGCGCACGUAGGCGGCUUUGUAAGUAAGAAGGUGAAAGCCCAGAGCUCAACUCUGGAACUUGCCUUUUAGGACUGCAUCGCUUGGAAUCAUGGAGAUGGUCAGUGGAAUUCCGAAGUGUAGAGGUGAAAUUCGUAGAUAUUCGGAAGAAACACCAGUGGCGAAGGGCGGCUACCUGGACCAGCACUGACACU